AUUGAACGCUGGCGGCAGGCUUAACACAUGCAAGUCGAGCGGGGUGAUGGUGCUUGCACUAUCACUUAGCGGCGGACGGGUGAGUAAUGCUUAGGAAUCUGCCUAUUAGUGGGGGACAACAUCUCGAAAGGGAUGCUAAUACCGCAUACGUCCUACGGGAGAAAGCAGGGGAUCACUUGUGACCUUGCGCUAAUAGAUGAGCCUAAGUCGGAUUAGCUAGUUGGUGGGGUAAAGGCCUACCAAGGCGACGAUCUGUAGCGGGUCUGAGAGGAUGAUCCGCCACACUGGGACUGAGACACGGCCCAGACUCCUACGGGAGGCAGCAGUUGGGAAUAUUGUACAAUGGGGGGAACCCUGAUCCAGCCAUGCCGCGUGUGUGAAGAAGGCCUUAUGGUUGUAAAACACUUUAAGCGAGGAGGAGGCUCUUUUGGUUAAUACCCAAGAUGAGUGGACGUUACUCGCAGAAUAAGCACCGGCUAACUCUGUGCCAGCAGCCGCAGUAA
rnacentral:rRNA from 1 species